UCUUACUGUGUUACGCCCUGAUCAUGCCCCAUCUCAUCUGAUCUUGGAAGUUAAGCAGGGCUGCGUCUGAAUUGAAAAUUGAAGGAGGAUAGGAAUGGGGGGCGGGAGGGU
rnacentral:rRNA from 14 species